UUCUUCCAUUAAUAUAGUACAUACAAUGUUUCGAUAUCCGAAAUAAAGAUAAAAUAAAAAAUCAGAUUUCCACAAGGGUUUUACGAUUAAUCUUCUCUAUCGUAAAAUCCUUGUGGAAACUCACUUUAUGUUGAAAGUCGUAAAUCCAUGUGGAAUCGAAUAAUUAUAGACCUCGUUUUGCUCCUUAGCAUGGGGCGGGGGGAGAGAGAAUUUUGCAAAACCCUUGUGGAAAUUCAGAAAAAUUGACCAAUUCUAUCGAUCAGUCUGGUCGAAAUAGGCAAUCAAUUUCCGUUCGAAAUUUCGGAUCGAUCUCUAACAUUGCAGACAGACUUUACUAGAUACCCUUCAUUUGAUAAAAUGUGGAAUCAAACGAUUAUAGACCUCCCCCAAGCAUGGGGCGGGGAGAGAGUGGAUUUUGCAAAAAAUUUCCUUGUGAAAAUUCAUUUUAUGAGAAAUCCGAAUAAUUAUAGACUUUGUUUUAGAACAAAAUUUAUAAUUAUGCAAUUUCACAAAAAUUUAAAAACCGCUUUAAUAUUGCGCGGAGCGAUACGCAUGCGCAUGUGGUCACAACGCCUGCCCACGUCGAUACAUUUCGUCGGUAUGACAGGUUUCCUAACCCUGAAUAACGCAAACUUUAACGAUCGAAUAUUUCGAUUCGCGAGGCAGAGCGACGAUUUUUCUGCCAGAUUCUUUCGUUCUAGCCAUGUAUUCUACCAAUGACAGCAAGGAGCUUGUCAAGUAAAAAAAAAUUAAGUAAUUUUAAAAUUACUUAAGUCAUUCUAACGUACAUUGACAGUGAACAGAGAACGAUAUAAAUCUCAACAUUGAGAGCUUGCAACUCUAGCAGAGAGUCCUGUUGCAUUAUGAAAUUGGAUUGAAUAGUGUCACAGCUGUUUUGUUAAAUCACAAUUACAACGAUUAUUAGAUAAUUAUGAUAUUCAAAAUAUGCCAUCUGAGUUGGCGUGCGAUCGCUAAUUCGGAAUGGUAACAUUUGCGUGCACGUCGCGGUGUAAAAAAUUACGAGUCACGAAAGAAUUUAAAAUGAGAUAUUUCUAAUUGCUAUUAAAGUAGAGUAUAUAUUUUUCAUCAAUAUCUAAUGCUAAGAGGGAGAUAUCAAGGUUGAUCCAAUCUUCACCUUCACUGAUCUGUUCACUGUGAAUAUUUCUGCUUGAGCUCCUAUGGCAAUGACAAUUUCACUAUAAUGUUGCUGGUGCCGGUGGCAUAACAACAUGAUCUGCAUUAUUGCUGAGAUGGAAAUAUGUUGCGAUAUUAAAACUGCCAACGAAGAAGUUUGUGUUGCCGAUGAGAAAAUACUUCUAUGUGAAAGAGGAUGAUCAUCGUCCAAGCAGCUAUAUCAGCAUGGAUCCACGAAUUGAUCGAGCAGACGUGGCGUCCAGUUUGCUACGCGAUUGCGACAUAUCACUCAGCGAUGUAUCUAAUGCGCUCGAGCAAAGCGAUGUGAAUACGAACGGAAAUGGAGAAGCUGCAUGAGAUAAAGACAUCACGAACAUAUUGCUGCACUAUCGCAAUGGAUAUGAAAUAACGGAACUAACGCGAUAUAUAAUUUUAUUGUAUAUAAACAAUAUAUAUUAUCUCUUUCCAUA
rnacentral:lncRNA from 1 species